rnacentral:lncRNA from 1 species
GCUCCUUUUAGAGAAGAGCUGAUUUUCUAAUAAGGUCUGAGGGCAGGGGUCUUUCCAGCAUCACCAGUUCCAUAGCUUGGUUCUACUUUGUACCAACCUGCAUAAGCAUAACAGACACACGGGCUGAGAGAAGUCUCCCCACAGCUCUCAUUUCCCUCUUUAAGUGGAAGGCCUGCUAGUGGAUUGCAAUGGUAUCACUUCUUCCUUUUCUUCAGAAGGCUUUGGUCUGCCACACCCAACCACUUCAAUGGCUGUCGCAUUCUACGUUCCCCAAGAGAGCUUUCCACAGGCUUCCAUUUCUGCAGCUUUAGAAGGCAUCUGAUCCAGGAGCUUCAUUUAAGGAAGCCCAAAAGAGACACGGAAGCACCUGGGCAGUAAGAGGCUGAGCAAGAAAGGAUGGCAGGUGUGCUUGCUUCCAAGUUCGUGCCUCUCAACCACCAUCCACUUCCGCCUUUGAUGUUUUCCUGCAGCCUCGACUCUGUGUACACCCUCAGACCAGCGCUUAUUCUCAUCUCUACCAGCUGCAACCUCAACUGUGCUCUAGCCACCAGCGCCAUCUCUGACAUAGGAGGGCACCCACUGCCUUCUCAGGAGGCUGGGUAGUCAUGAAACUUUGAUGAUGAGCCAAAAUGAGAAAAGCCUAAGCAAGGACCCAGCA